GUCAGCUGCCAUGGUGAUGUCUCCUCCCUACUUCUUGCCCACCCAAAGCCUACUGGUUUUGGGGGAUUUGGUGGGAGUCUUGGUGCUGUGCCAGCACCACUCAGCAAUAGACAAAACAUUCUAUGUUGUGCAGAGCAAAACGCUGUAUGGGCUACUGCAGGGAAGGUUAACUCCAUCCCAGCCAGACCCAGUACAACCCCUUGCAAAGGGACAUGCACAGGAAUUCUAAGCACAGGAGAUGAGUUUAAUUUUUCACCACAGUGGUGCAAGCAGGGAGCAGGAAGAGGUUUGCUGUGUGUCACAGAGAAGCCAGAGCAGAUGGAAGAACAGCAAGACCUUCUGAGUCCAAGCCUCACCCUAGAUACUUAUACUUUUCAGAUGUAUUUGCAUAGUGAGGUACAACAUGCUAAUAUUCAUAUCUUUAAAAAGGACCUUCCUGUUUUAUUUCACUUUUUUUUUUUCUUUUUUCUCUAGUUAGAAUCAUAGAAUCAUCAUACAAUCAUAAUAGAAUCAUUAAGGUUGGAAAAAACCUUCAAGAUCAUCUGGUCCAACCAUCACCCUACUACCAAUGACACCCACUAAACCAUGUCUCUAAGUACCAGGUCCAACCUUUCCUUAAUCACUCCCAGGGACAGUGACUCCACCACUUCCCUGGACAACCCAUCCCAAUGCCUGACUACUCUUUCUAAGAAAUGUCUCCUAAUUUCUAACUAAACCUCCCCUGGUACAACUUGAGGCCAUUCCCUCUAGUUCUGUCACUGGUUAUCUGUAAGAAGAGUCUGACCUCCAGCUCCCCACAACUUCCUCUCAAGUAGUUGUAGAGAGCAACAUUUGAAUGUCAAUAUUUCUGCUAUUUUGUUUUUAAUUUACAUAUUUUACGCCAGUUGAAAAAAAAAAGAGAGAGACUAUGUUUUCUUCUGUCACCUUCAAAAUGCCUUUCAAUUCAAAAAAAAAAAAAGUACUAUUUGUCUUCAGGAUAAAUUUAAUCAUCUGUAUACAUAUAUUCAAAAUUGCUGCUAUCCUUUUUUUUUUUUUUUUUUUUUUUUUAAGAGCAACAAUUAACACUUAUCUCUGCUUUGGUUUACUAUUAUUAUAACUCACUUUUUGUGAUUUACUCCCUCCCCCCCUCUCCCCAGCCCCCCAUAAGUUAUGAUUACUGGUAGGAAAUAAAUAAAUGAACAUAUAACA
rnacentral:lncRNA from 1 species